UCCACUUUCUGACACCGAAGGUCGGAGUACGGGCAGCGAGGGCUCCCUGGUGAGGGAUCAGCUGUUUCUCCUCUCCUCAUGCCCAGUGCGCACAGCCAUCUACCCACCGCUGCUCUCAUGCCCGGCUGCAGAUGACUUGGCCCAAGCAAAGGUGAAAGCCAGUGGAAACAUGAAAACUGCUGUCCUCAUACCUAAGGGCUGUGGAUGUUCCUGUGAAGAUGCACAGCUGUGAGUGUUUUGAGGCCUCUGCAGGAUCACGGCGGGGACAUCGGCGAACUCGUGGUGUGCUCUGCACACUGCCUCUUUGUUUUGGUUGAAGACAUGACACUUUGCCCUGGAUCAACUCUGCAAAUAACAAUGGAGCAAGAAAAGAUUAGUUCGUGCAGAUCCAAACACUUUCCUCGUUCCUCCUGCUUUUCUCCAAAGUUUGAUGUGAUCACUUCAGGUAACUGUCACGUCCCUGGGAUACGAGCGGUUGCCAGAACCCCCUCUGGCUGCUGUCAGUCUGGCUCAAGACACCUUUGCCGGAGUGGCCCAAACAGACCAGAGUGCUGUCUAUACAGAUACAGCAUUAUAUCUUUAUCGUUGUCAGAGAGAAGAAUUAUGUUUCCCCCACCCCUGCCCUCUGGGUAAGAAAAGGCAAACAUAUCAUAAAGGUACUGUAAUAAGUCUGCUAGAGCUGUCUUUGCAGCCUCCUUCUCCUCCCCAAACUGGAAUGUGCCUAAGCUCCUUCUGGUCUGCUUAUUUCUUUUCUUCUGGCAGCCCUUGGGGAAGGCACCUAAUACCUUUUAGCAAACAUUAUUUAUGGACGCAGAAUGCCAGGAACGUGUCUUUACAAAUAGUCUGUACGAUAUGUCCUGAGCCCUUCUGUCUGGCACCUAAUUAUGUUAGUCCACAACGCUCCGAUUUCUUUGGCUUUUUGCUGUAAGCCAGAUUUCCUGAUCCUGGGUCGUUUCCAUGUGAGCAGACUUCCGCAAUGACCCAUGGUGUGUGCUUCCAUGAUGUGCACUGCAGCCUCACAACUGGUGAUUCCUGCUGAGGUCCUAGGACCAGUGCUUAGUGCUUUAGGAAAAGAGAAAGGUCAGUGCUAGCCCCGUAGUACCAAUGUUACUUCACACAGCACCCUGGGAUGCUACAGGCCUGCUCCAUGGAGGGGGAAUUUGCUGGAUCUGCACUGGAGCAUCUCUCACCCAGCACUGCUCCCUUCCGUGAGGUCGGUGUUAACGCGAUGCAUCUAUAGGUCCUUGUGGGAGCUCUGUUUAUAUAGCCAAUGCUGAAGUUAAAGAGGGGCAGCUGUAGAUAGACUUUUUAUCAAAACUAUCUAAAAACCUUCCCCUAGAUGAAAACCACUGACUUUGUAAGCAUCUCUGCCUAUUCGGGAUCAAGAUCAGCGCAUAAAGUCUUCCAAGAGAAGAUUGGUGAGUUCUGUUUCUUCUCUCACCUAAAAGACCGUGGGAAAGGCUGCACCUUCAUACUUCUGUGUUGCUUCCCAUUCCCUGUGAAUUUGGAAGGCUUUGUAAAUUACAUAGCUCUUGGUCUCAGCCUAACAGCAUUAAAGGAAAUACCUCCCUCCCAGUCAAGGGUUUGAGGAUAAGUGAAAAACAGUGUACCUGUACACAUAGGGCAGGAAGUGAUCUAAGAUGGAAUUUGGUCUGCAAAUAUUAACAUCUCUUUUAUUCAGUGAAUGCUAUCUGAAUCUUAAUGACUGCAAGUGUACUAAAAUUCCAUAUGCACAUUUAAAUCCUGAGACAGUAUCUAUAUCAGCACAGGACCUGCAGCUUAUCCUGUGUUGUUUCCACCUGUAGAUAGUAUUGUAAUGCUUUGUGUGACUUGGGAGCUAAGAAGGAAGAGCAUCACUAAGCUGCUACUUAUCAUGGCUUGUCUUCUGCUCAUCCCUUUAUGUUGACUCAUUCAUUCUUGGGCUGGGCAGUGUGACGGGAUCACAGCACAAGCUUUCACAAAGAGCAGACUCUGGACGUGCAGAAAAUAUCGCUAAAGAGGCUACCUGAGCCUCUGUAGGGACUCACCUAUGGCCAUUCCUGAGCCACUAAAACCCCUGGUUUGUUUCCAAGGAAAGCUCUAGCAUCGUGUUUUCGGUAUGCUGGCAGAGAGGAUGGGACUUGCUGACUUCAGAUGAGAUGCCAAAGCAUGCAGAGGGGACUCUACUAUAAACAAUCUGUUAAAAUUCAUUUUGAAAAGGGAGAGCGAUGAGGGGAGGAAAAACAAAAUAGACAGAGAUGCUGACUUGCCCUCUAUGGUCAUCCUCCCUCACUGGUGAUUAAUCAUCUCCCCCUUCAAGCCCAACAGACCAGCUACAUCACAUUCCUCAUUUUCUUUUUGUUAGCAAGAAAUUUGCUUUUUGGCAUGCCUUUUGUAGGAUUCAAAGUGCCUUUGUGCUGUGGUGUGAGGGAAGGGAGUUUCACUCCUCAGAAAAUGUGCUAAAAGCAUAUAUUAUGGGCUGGGUUCUCCACCCCACCCAGGGGUGGCGGAGAGGAGCUGCAGGGAGCCGGUUGUGGAUGCCUGAUCCCAUACCUCUGGCACCUGGUAGACUUAAGGGGCUGGAGACUCUGGAUCUGUAUGUAUUCCAGACUGUUGCUGGAGAUCAAUGUACUCUUGCAGGGUGCAAAUCCCUUCUGAGUCAUCAAAAAAAAUUGAGUGGGGAGGGAAUCAGAAGGAAUGGCUUCUGCAGUGAGAUAGUAACCUUACUUUAUUGUCUGCAUACUUGUGUGGGUCUUGCCUAUAUUACAAAACAUAAAUUAAGUACAUUCAUAAGUACAGUGACUGGUAAACCAUGUACAAUGUAGAUUUCCUAGUCUAAGCCUGGUAAAGCAAGUGUUGACUAUGCCCUAGGGAAGGGUUGUCCAUGGCACCAAAAGGUCCCUUUCCACCAUGCUUGUGGUGUGGGUCCUCCAAGGGAGUGAUGUGGAUAGGAAUAUGGCCCUCUGUACUGCUGGGGUUAAACCAUGGUCCUGCUAAAGCCUCAGCAUUUCCUGGUGUUACCAACACAUACCAGAGGUGUUUGGAAGGACAACAGGCAAAGAAAGUUUUCCUAGUGAUAAAGCUUGUAUGCUAGCCCACUUCUGGAAGAGUCACAAAAAGACAAGACUGAUUAUCUCAUGGAAACCAGCUGUCCCACAGUCUGGCUGAAUCACAGUGAUCAAAAGCCACAGAAGAAGGACCUGAUUUACUACCCAUGGACAGGGCUUUGUGGACACUGUGAGGCUUGGAAUGCACUCACAACAUAAAUUGAGAGUAAAUAUAUGUCUGUAAAUACAUAUCUUCUAGGUGGCUGUAAAUAUGUGGCUAUAAAUACGUGUAUCCUCUCUCUGUGCUCUCAAAACAAGAUGACCUGCAUGUUUAGAGAAUCUAAUUUACAGAUGUUUGUGUUCCCCUUUGCCCGCCAGCAUGAAUUUCACAAAAGUUUUCCUUUAGCAUGACUUAGAGGUCACUGCCUCAUGUGACAGCUCAAAAACAUAACCAUUCCUGGUCAGAGUUGAUUCUGACUAUGAAGGAGAAGCAGAGGGUUGUGUUCAAACGUAGGCGAGGACCCUUUCUGAACCUGCACUUCUGUGGGUUGCUGUGCACCAAGCGCGAAGCUGCUUCAGCUUCAGUUGCUCAGCUUUUACAGAUCCCUUAGAAACAGUCUGUGCCACUCCAGCAGCCAGUGGAUCACAGGCUGCACAGCCAUCAGUUAGUGACUUCCAGGCUUCACUGGCCCAUGGACAAGACCACUGGGCAGGGAGCAAGCUGCAGCACAGCACAAUUUCUGUGCUCUCCCUCUCUGCUUCACUCUUCAGGUUUUCAUUUCCCUGGGCCACAAGCAAAGAGGUGGUUUAGGGACCACGGCUCUGUCCCCCAGAGUUGGCUGCCUUUCAGCAUUUGGAACCAUCCUGCCUUCCUGGGAUGACUGGAAAUGAAGCCGUAAACUCUGAUCCUAGUUUGCAUCCAUGUCAAGCGAUAGCAGCCUGUGGUUCUGGAGCAGAAGUCUUCAGAGUGGUUCUUUUUCUCGCACCAUCGUGCACGGAGUUGGUGCCUGCCUGAAUGCACAGCUACAAAUCACUGCAAAGAGGCAGGCAGUUAUGGUCAGAGAAACCAGAAGAGGAUGUUGUUACAGUUACCUGAAUGUAACUCAGGAAACUCAUUGCUGACAGAAUUUAAGCUUGAAAGGUUUGUACUAGGUGGUGAGAUGGAUAAAACCAUCAUUUCUUAGCAGCUGUUGUAUUCUUAGUUACAAGGGAAAGUAGCGUAACAUUCAGACCUAAUCAUAGUGAAAAAAAUACAAGCAAUACUUCGAGCACAAUAUGAAUAAAAGGUUUGUAUUCAAACACCAGGCUAAAACCUCACUGUAACAAUCAGGCUAAUGUGGUGAAUUUUUUGUCACUUUUGCAGCAGUUUUUUAAGGAAGGAUCCUGGCCCUCAAAAGAACUGCUUACCUGCUGAAGCAUAACAACCCACCAUCAAUCCUUUCCCCUGACAGCCUUAAUCCUGCUCUGGCUUGUCUGGGCUGUGUGCUUCAGUAGGAGGUGGAAAACUGAGAGCACUGAGCGCUAAAGAGAGUUGGGAUACUGCCGUACAGAAUGGUGGGUGGUUUUACUUAGAUGUCUUUGUAAAUAAACAAAUAUGGCUGAUGAAAGCUAGAUGGCCAGAGAGGUUUCUGCCUCUCUCUACGCACCCCACCCUUUUCUUGGCAAUUAUGGGGGUUUCAGAUUACUUAAAAUGCAAGGUUGGAAAUGGGUGGCUCAGCAGCUGCUUCGCAUGUGGUUCAGCUCCUGCUGAUGGAGACAUCACAGAUCUGGAGGAAGGCUCCAUCAUCUCAGCAUGAUACUCUUGUUAUUUGGUGGACGUUUCAGUCCAACCAGCAGCAGAUGCCAUUCCUGCAGCUCUGAUUGCCAGCUCAGAAGGGAACGUGCUUACCAACACAGAGCAGCAGGCAUGCAAGCGUGCUCCUGCUUCACUGAUUAACACAUUUUACCUUAUAUAUUUCACAGCCUACAAGCUGCAUACUUGACCCAAAGGCAAAAGCAGUUUCUUGGAGACUGUGUGGCCAUCUAGCGUUAUUGUAUAUACAGCAUGCUUCAGAACUUCUCCCUCAAUCCUAAUCCACUUCCACAAAUACUGGUGAACUGCUGAGACCCUGGUCACUUUAGAGCUUUUUCCUGCACAUCUCCCAACUGAAUGCUUAACUCAGAAUUACAGGAGAUUUAAACUUGCUAAACCAUUGAGCGUGAUAAUCUCUCAGAAAUUUGUGGCCACCUGAAGAUUGUACUUACGGACUGAGAAGAUGAUCCUGCUACCAUAUUUCACUUAGCCAUAGCAAGUGUGGGUUGCUACUGUCAGGAAGAGCAUCCAGGGUGCCUGUGGCCUCUGCUACUAUAUGUUAGCAGAGUGUCAUUGAUUCCCAGGCAAAAAAAAAAGAAAAAAGAAAAAAAGAUUAAUUUAAAUUUGGAGAUUAGGGAGCAAACAAAAGGGAUGCCAGUGCUAACAGCCACUGUAGAGGCUCUACAGUGCUCGCAGACUUUCUCAUUCGUUCAGGAAUAGGAAAGCUUGUACAUACACUGAAUGAAUAAGACAAGGGAGAAAUAACCUGAAUCUGCAUUUCUCACUUUUCUCCUCAAGAGCAGAACAGCUUAUUUCAAAGUCCCAGCUUUCUCGUUGAUCAUUCAGCAGGUGGGGCAAUUAGUACAAGGUACUGCUCUUACAGUUUGGAAUAAAUUAGUUAGAAAACCUGUGUAGGCAAGAGCAUGAUGAAACGACACACAUUCUUGUGUUGCAUACCAGAGCAACAAGUAAAUUUCAAAGGUGACAACCCAGGCUUAAUGUGACUUAGCAGCAGCCACUUGGCCAACCUGAGAACAGAACUGUCUCUGUUUACAAUCCUCGUUUUUCUAACUCUUAUCUGCUCUCUUUCACUGUAAUUUCCCCUGCCUCCUCUACGCCACUAGGUUCAUCUUUCUCUGCACCUUGCAUUAUAUUGUUUAAAUGUCCAGGUGUGUCAUGAGGGACUUUCAUCUUCUGAAACAGAAGGUAGUGGACUAGGGACUUUCUGCACCACAAUAACAAGUCACUGACUACUGAGAUAAACGAAAUUGCCUCUGGACAGAAGCUACAUGUUACAAGCUCCUUGCUUGGACUAAACAGUGAAUGGAGAUUCAUGCCAUGAAGACACACCAUUUUCUGGAUCCUGCUAUGCUCAUGGAGGUGCUACCAGCUCUGCCUGUUCAACAUUUUUUACUGAUGGAAAUAGCCCUAUUCUCACCCCCUAAAUGAUCUGCCCAAUGAACGGUUUACAUAAACACUCCCUUAUUCCUCUUGUUAGCUCAGACCAUUAAUAUAAAAUAUUUAAGUCUCAGUCAUAAGACUGAGCAGUUGCAGGGGAGCAGUGACAAGCAGCACUUACUCAUUGUACAGUAAUAGCUAGCUCUGGAGGAGGAUGUUUGUGGACAUUGUCUUGCUCAUGUGCGCUAAGCCAGGAUAAGUGCACUUGUCUGCAAGACUGGACAUAAAUCUUUUGCAUUAUCCCCUUGUAAGUGUCUAUCUGCGGCAUGUAAAAAAUAUACUGUGGUAUGUAUCCAGCAGGCUCCAUCUGCAACUGAUUGAUCUUGUAGCAUUUACUUGGGACAGUUUUUUGAGAGGUGUGCUUUACAAACACUCUUUCACUGCAUCAAGUGCUGUGGGAACUGGGUAUCUGAACAGCACCAAAGAGGUAUCUAGCUAAUUACCAUGUUGUUAUUUAUUUCUGCUCACUUUGCAGACUAAUGGGGAAAAAUAUUCCAGCCCUAAAUAACACCUAACUCAGCACACAAACAUCCUGCAUACAAGGACAGCUAACAGGGUCACUCCCCUGCUGCAGUUCAUAGCAGGGAUUGUAGCAGCAAUUCCUAGGCCAGGGAUGGAUGAUGCCAUGACGGUGUUGGGAGGGAGGAUGAGGGGUUGCUGCACAACAGCACACGUUUCGCUGUUGGGGAAAUGGAUGGCAAUCAUGACACUGGGAAGCACAAGUAGAGGGGAAGACAGCGAGCUGCGGUCCCACUACCCACCAGGAAAUCCCCUCCUGCCCUGAACAACUUACACACAAGGUGUUGGGCAGAGCAGGAAAUAGCCAAAAUGAAGUUGUCUGAUUUAAGGUGAUAAAAUUUGAUGUGUGUCUCACAAGUCUAAAACUGGUUUUAAUGAUAUUAGAAAACACUGUAUAUGAAUAUAGGAGUGAGGUGGAAUAUUUGUAUUCUUCUGUGUAUCUUACUGAGAAGCUUAAUUCCUUUGUAUUAGAUAUAUAAGUUGUGCUCCUUGCCAUUUCUGAGCAGGACAGAUCUUAUGGCUUUUUUAAAAGAAGCAGAGGUGUUAACAUUUCUAUCCCAGCCAAAGUAUUUGCAUUUCAUUUUCCCAAGUGCCCCUGAAGGUCUAGUUGCACCUUCUUCCUUGCUUCCUGCCUGGAACUGGUGCUGGGAGUUACUGAAGCUGCCAUCAUAUUCCAGCUUGGAUGUUGGCUGCCUUUCACUUGUAGUCUAGGUGACUACUCUACUCUGUGUCAUUUGGGAAGCACUUUGGGAUCUUACAGAAUGAAAGAUGUCUGACAAAAUAAAGUGUUUGUUUCUUUA